ACCCAUGGUGAUUAUCUUUCCAAAGGGCCAAAAAGUGCCCUUUUCAGGGAAGUAGCAACGUGGAAGAAAAUCUGGUAUCCUGAGGUCACUGAGUGAAAGAUGAUGUUGUUUCAUUUACCUUUCUUUAGAUCCCUACAGGU
ensembl:snoRNA small nucleolar RNA SNORA67